AUUAAUUUAGAACAAACAAAACACCCAAUUUGACUUUUUUCACUAAUUAAAAAGAAAAUACUUUUACAUACAUAAAAACAAAUUUAUUUUUCAAAAUGAAGUAAGGGCUCUUUCUCAACGCGACGUGUAGAUGGGUGGUUGUCCAAAUCAACACCUCUCCCUAUUCGGAAGACCCCAUAUUAUUAACGGUCCUUCAAAAACUCCAAGCCCAUCUGUAAGACGUUUAAUGUCAGCUUAGUUAGGGUUCUCACAAGGGGGAAAGACAUGCAGAAAAUCUUUGAAUAAUUUCUACUUGCUUUAUGAUAAUUGUUCUUCCUACAAUUAGUCUGUGCUCAUUUUUGGGCAAUCCGGAUUCUUAAAUAUAUACAAUUUAAAUCUGAACCUCGACAUGCUCUGGGAAAAACAUGUCCCGACUUUCGAAACCCUAAAAACCAAUACAAAUAAAGAAUAAUUUCUCAUACAUAGGCCCCCUUUUGAUCAUGGCUUCCAACCGACUUGUUCUCAACUAAGAAGACACCGAAGGCCAACACAAUUAGCAAUUCCAAGAACCCUAGAUGAUGGGGUCCUGCAAAAGAGACCCUGCAGUUAUCCAAAACCUGGCAAAAUACACCAUUACAGAUUUACGGGAAAAGAGGCGUAACCCUAGAUAAGAGUGUGUGCACAUAUAUUUUUAAAACAGAAAUCAACAUAUUCAUCUACAAGUGAUAAAUAGACAUUAAUACGCCAGCAUUCUAUAGAUAAAGAUUUACUCGAGUAACUAAUGUGGAGCUCCCUUCAAUCCAAGAAAGGAAAAGAGAAGGCAAGCACAUCUCUCGAAUCAUGCAAACCCUUAAGCUGCACGCUCCUCCAAAGUAAAUUCAAUCUGCGCAACUCAGAGGUAUCCAUGAGCCAUCAGAUGUACUACAACCUCCCUCCUUCCAAGUAUUGGAUCAAAGGGAGCUCCCGUCUUCAGCCGUCUGAAUUAUUAUUAUUUUUUUUUUAAAAAAAAAGGUAUAGAAAUUAAGGGAGCUCCCUUCACUCCAAACAAGAAAAAGACAAGGCAAGCACAUCUCCUGAGUCAUGCAAAACCCUUGAGCCGUGCCCAACCAUCCUGCACAACACAAAGGUAUCCAUGAAUCAGCAGAUGGGUUCAUCCUUGUUUUUUUUUUUUUUCCUUGCUUUGGAUCAAAAGGAGCUCCACUUCAUCAUUUCCUUUUCCCCACUACGUACCGAUACAUAUACCAGAAAUACAUAUAUAUGCAUGUGCGGUGUAACGCCAUUAAAUUUAAGGUUCCCUUCAAAGGGAAAAGACUGAAGCUGUGACUGCGAAGAGUAAAGUGAGGUCAUAAUGUGGUUUAUAUAGAAGGGUGCAAGAAAAGUGUAAACCCUAGGAGAGCUAUAUUUACCCUUGUCAUAUAUUUGAAAAUAAUAUAGAUUUGAUUUUUUUUUUCUGAACACCAUUAACGGGGAACAGUGAAAGCAAAUCUGUGAAGAAAGAUUUUCUAUCAUCAAACGAGACAAGAUUAGCAGAGAAAGAGGCGAUGGUAUUCUGACAAAAGUGGAAAUCAGGGGCUGGUUUUUGGAAACAGAAACCGAC
rnacentral:lncRNA from 1 species